AUCAGAGAUGAUGAGACGAUCAGAGCCAAGAUCCAGAAGAACUGAACUCCCAUCCCCCGAGUCCUGCGGCAGGAAGCGCUCCUUCUCUCCAAGAACUCCUGGACCCUGCAAGCUGCUCCAGAACCAGAGUCCCAGUGAGGAGUCCAGCCAGUCCACCUCUCAGAGUUAAACUAAACUACAACAUUAUUAAAGAUCAUGUUUAAAGUUAAAAAAGGAUGCUUUCAGACUGAAUCCAGAAGUUUCUCAAGCUGCAGUCAAAGCAGGUCAUUUGAGGAAUAUAUAAAACAAUUAUAAAACUGUAAUAAGAAUUACUCUGAAUACUUUCUUUGGACAUUUUAU